CCUACGGGUGGCAGCAGUGGGGAAUAUUGCACAAUGGGGGAAACCCUGAUGCAGCGACGCCGCGUGAGUGAAGAAGUAUUUCGGUAUGUAAAGCUCUAUCAGCAGGGAAGAAAAUGACGGUACCUGACUAAGAAGCCCCGGCUAACUACGUGCCAGCAGCCGCGGUAAUACGUAGGGGGCAAGCGUUAUCCGGAUUUACUGGGUGUAAAGGGAGCGUAGACGGCCAGACAAGUCAGAAGUGAAAGCCCAGGGCUCAACCCUGGGACUGCCGUUGAAACUGGGGAUCUUGAGUGGGCGAGAAGUAUGCGGAAUGCGUGGUGUAGCGGUGAAAUGCAUAGAUAUCACGCAGAACUCCGAUUGCGAAGGCAGCAUACCGGCGCCCGACUGACGCUGAGGCACGAAAGCGUGGGGAUCGAACAGGAUUAGAUACCCGAGUAGUC
rnacentral:rRNA from 1 species